rnacentral:tRNA from 1 species
GAGAGUAUAGCUCAGUGGUAGAGUGCCUGCUUUGCAUGCACAAGGUCCUAGGUUCAAUCCCCAGCGCCCCCA